UCACUCAUAUCCUACCCAACAGUCAAAAGCCGAAGAUUUUAUAUUGACCUUUCGUUUUUUCUAUCUGUCUCUCGCUCUAAUUUGAGUGAUUUUCCCUUCGUGAGUAUCCACGAGCUCCCUCGUGUGGUUGUUGUUGUUGGAAGUUGAAACCGAACCCCCUUCGUACGCUGCCAAAAUCAGCGAAGAACGAAAUCGAGUGGCUCAAGCGAAAGAACGAAAAAACCCAAGGACGCAAAAACCGACGGCGGCCUGCCCAAGUAGCAGAGCCGAAGUUGUUGAGAGGUUUUUCUGUGUGCCAAAGCGAGAGGCCCUGUCUUCUCUCUCUAGAUUUUGGACGGCAAACCGCCGCCCGUGUAGAGGUGUGUGCGUGUGACGAAAAAUUAUGGAUGAAAUACGGGGCAAGCGGGGUUUGAAGUCUUUCGUUCGUCACACACACAUGCAUUUACCAGCGGAUAACGCUGGACCGAGUCUACCCAUCUCUCUCGAUCCAACAUGAUUUUUCUGCUAUCGCGCUCAUCCGGGUGUUAGGCAUCCUCAGUCUGUCCAGAACUUUCCCUAUGGAAGGAUGUACUGAAGUGAGGUGCGAUUUAUUGUGCGACGUACUUUGUUCAUUUACGUUUUGUGCCGUGUUCCUUCUUCCUCAGUUAUGGAAUGAUUUAUCCUAGCAAAUUGUUGAGGUAAGUUUCUUGCUGUGUGCUUGUGCAGGUACAUUCAACUAACCCUUGGCGUCUAAAAAGUUACAGGUGUGUGCGCUAUUUAUCAACGACUACCUGCUGGCCUCGUCAACAAUCUUCAAAGGAGCGACGGAAAGAAAACGUUUUCCAGUUUUAAAAUAUUAAGCCCCCGGUGAGGACGUCAUUACUUAACAGAAGCCGGUUCAACACGCGCAGCUCCUGUUCAUGACGUCAUCACUAAACUCAAGCCAGCUGAACACGCGCAGCACGGAUGUUACCUCGAGCGCAGUAGGAGGAAGGAAGAACGAGAGGAGGAAGAACGGUAAAUUUGGAAGGGGGAAAGCGUUCUGCCGUCUACACAGCGGGAGUAUGCCAAAACACAUGUGGGAAGGGAGAGGGAUAUUAUUCAAUAAACAGCAUGCGAAUGUGUGCAUAAAGCAAA